AUGCUACUUUUAAAAUAUAGAAAAAAAUCGUUGUAUUGCUCAAAAUUUCCUCGGUUUAUCCGUACAAUAACCUGACUUAGAGAGAAGAGAGAAAGAUGAGAAGGUGAAAGUGGAGACGACUGUGCCAUCAUCGCUCCCUCUGCUCUGAUUCAGUAUUCCGGAAUUUUGAAUAUGAGGCUAAUGGAUUGAUGAUGUUGUUGGGGGAUCUACGGUCGAUUUGGCUUAAAAGUCGUCGGUUUUAUCCAUUCGCUUGGUCUUCUCCUACAAUAUGAACAUGGGGUUUUCCUCUGUUGGCAAUGGAUGAUCUUCAUCAUCUUUUUCCAAUCUCUCACAUUUGGCGCCGCCUUUCACUCUUGAUCGUUCGGUCACUCGACCUUUCUCCAACCCACUUGUAGAUAUGACCGAACCGAACCUUCAUCUGUGGUUCCUUUGAACACUACAACUGCAGCUACAGUACACAAUUGGCUCCCUUCCACCUCCAAAACCUCAGGCCUUGACUUCAUUUCCAAUACCUUUCCUGAAUUUGAUUGGUUAUCCUUCUCUACUGGGUCUAAAUACCCUAGGUCGCAGUCUAUGAUGGAGCCUUCUGAUAACCACGGACCUCUUUUGGGCAGUCUUACAAUGUCUUCAACCAACCCCUACCUAUUCGGGAACGCCUCUAACGGACUAACAACUAGUAUUGGCCAAGAGAAACCAUACCAUCCAUCUUAUGCAUCAACUUCAUGUAACAAAGGUGGUCCUAUGGUCAUUAUUGAUCAACCAACUUAUGAUUACCCAUCCAACUCUCAUGUUGUUGCAUUCAAUGUGCCCCCCUACGCGGACUUCUCGCAUGGAUCUUCACCUUCAGGCUUUGAGAGAUCAGUUGAGGAGGCUGCACAUUCUAUUCAUAUGUUUGAUCUGAAUAAAUGCUACGACUUUGUAAGAGAAUGUCCAAGUGAGGAAUUGUUAUAAGAGCAGAACCUUAACAUUGAGCAGCCUAAGAAUUUAAGAAUGUCUAACAUGGAUGCUCAUUAUGCAUUUCCAGGAUGACACCCUAAGACUGAGACUAGAACACCUUCAAAUCCAGCUUCUAGUUUCCAGAACUCUCAAUAUCUACAAAAUGCUCCAUAUCAGAAAAUCUUGAGAGAGCAAGAUGCUAGAGAGUGUGCCCUACAUCGAUUGCCAAUUCUCCCAAUACUCUUUCCAUCCAAACACCUGUUCUUGGUACUGAUUCUUUUAUCUGGAACAUUGGUCCAUGCCAUAUUUCAGGUAAUGGCGAUCAUUUCUUUGAAGGAAAACAAGGUGAUGAUCACCUUCGAAAUCUAAAGAAGUCUUUUCCAGUUAACUCUGAUAGCCAGGAAUUCUUCGGUACGGAGAACCAUGGAACAUGUAUAUAUAAGCAUGACCCUAUCAUUCACGUCUUACAAAACAAUGUACAUUAUGCUGAGGAUUCACUAGAUCAUACAUUGAAGGUUGAAAUGGGAAUUUACGUUCCUGAUGCUAGUCCCCAAUUUUGUCUGGACCUUAAAACAAUUGAAACUGCCACAACUACUGAGAGUUCCUCUGAAAGUUUUGAUCAGAUCAACUUGGCAGCAGUAGACUCACCUUGCUGGAAAGGAGCUCCAAUUAGUGGCGUUUCUCCUUUUCAAGCUUUUGAAAUUAGUACUCCGAGUGAUGUGAAGACGGUGGAAGUCAACAACGAUGUGAAACUCUCCUUCUCUCAAGUACCUCCUUCUGCUGGGGAUUCUAUGGAAAUUUCCGUUCAUGAACCAAAUGAAAGAACCAUAGGGAGCAUUCUGGAAAAAGGUGCAACAUCUUCUGCAAAGAUGCCUUCAAUUGCUGAUUCCUCCUUGCUUGCAACGCAGAAAACUAGAGAUUAUAUGAAAGCAGGAGAAUUUUAUUCAGAAAUGGGAUGCUUUCAUCCAACUACUGGUUGCAUUCAUGAACCAGUAGAAGAUGGUGGUGACUUCUAUUCUUCUUCCACGCCACAAAGUAAAUAUAAGAAUAAUCUACUGUCUGGAAAAAACAUUACACCUACAAGUUACACGAAAAAGCACGAAGAUGCAGGAUUAAAUAGCGACGACUCCCCUGCAAAUGGUUUGAAUCAUUUGUCGUGUGAUGUUGCAAAACACGUCCAGAAUUUGCCUUUUAAUCUUGUAAAGGUAUUUCUUGGAGAAUCGAACUCCAAAAUUGAUAUCCGGAUUCUGGUUGAUACAUUGCACAGUCUAUCAGAAUUGCUUCUUGUAUGUCAUUCAAAUGGUUUGGCUCCAUUACACUAAAAAGACCUCAAGCCCCUUGAGACUCUGAUGAAUAACAUUGAUGUUUGUUUAAAAAACGUCGGAUCACAAGGUUCUUUCUCGCCUGAGCAAAGGACUUCACAAAAUCUUGAGCAACUUCAUUCGGUAUGUUGUGUCCACUGUCUACUUUCUUGUCCUUAAAGUUCAGAAAGUGAUAAUUUGAAAACCCGCUAAUGAAAAUUCAAGUAGCAGUUAUAAUCUUAUCCAUUCACUCUCUUUGCUACACUGGUCAACAAAAAUAUGAUUUGAGUUUAAACCCACGAUGUUGAUGACAUACUAUCAUUCUACACGCUUUCACAUGCACAUCGAUAAAGAUUUUCUCUAGAGCGGAUUUUUUUUUUCUGUUGAUACAUUGCAGAAUGCUCAUAAAAUUAUAUAUAUGUACUGACCAAACUUUUGUUGGAAGGGUGUACGGAAAAGAUGUACCACAAAAGAGGACGUCCAAAAUUAACUAAGAAAUGGACUCUAAUCCAAAAGUUCAUAUUUAACGACGUUCCAAAAGUUUUAUAAUCUUUUGCCUGAUAUAUCUUUGAAGGAUACUUUAGGGGAUUUUAUAUAUGUCGCUGUAUUCUUUAAUGUUUUCAAUGAAAGUUGGGUUUCUUACCCACCUUUGAAGAAUUAUUCAUAUUUUUAUUGUACAAUGACUAACCAAAUCAAAUGUUUUCUUUAAUCUUUAAUUUUUUUUUUUAAAAAAGACUUUCAUUGAUAAAAUGUAAAGUGUCUAAUACUCAACUUACAAUGAAACAUGAAGAACAAUAUUGAAAACUUGAACUAGAAGAAUACUAAGAAUGACAAACCAAAUAGAUAGACAAAGUUGAACUAUACAAAAAAGAUAAAAGCAGUCUAAUUCAAAUAGUUCUCUUGCACUGGAAAACAAGAAAACAGCUUGGAAAGAGAGCAGGUGGAUGCAUUAAGUCCUGCAACUUCAUAACAAAUGAGCCACGUAGGAGAUUUUUUUUGUUAAAGACCCUUUGACUCCUUUUGAACCAUAUUUCAGCAAGCAAAGCUUUGACCCUGAUAGACAAAAGAAAAGUAGAACUGGGCUUCAUAACAGGGCCUCCCAAUAUUUUGAAGACAAUCUUCUUAAACGAUCCACCGAAACCCCACUGAACAUGAAAGGUAGAAAAUGAUUCUUCCAACGUGCCAUAGGGUAACAACAAUCUUCCACAAGAAUAAACUACCUGCAAGUUUCCCAAGAGAAUCUUCAAAUAAAGAGAAGUAAUCCCUAAGACCAGGCCACGAUCAUCAAUGAUAAAUUUUAGAAGGCAUUUGUGAGGGAUCAACCAAGGAAAACUUCUAAUCUUGGGUUCUGAUUGAAACUUUUUUCCUCUGAGUGAUAAAUAACCUUGCAAUGUCUUCACCAAAAUGAUCAUCUGAGAUCCCCACUGUAUUUGAUUUCAAAGCAUUAUAAUCAUAAUCAUCACUACUACACUUACGGUAGACUCAUCAUCCAAAUUUUCAUGAUUCCAGGGAACUUCCGAGAGAACUUGGCCAGGAAUAGAAAAAGUAACAUGGUUCCAUAAUUCCAAGUUUGACGUCAUUAAUCCAGACAUUUUAGAAGUGAAAUGUGUCUUGGCGCAAAUUCAAGCGCUGGUUUCAGAAAAGUCUAGAUUAGUUUCUUCGAGGUUUCAGCUUUCUCAAGCCUUCUCUAAGUCUUUUUUCUCCUUCCCAAAUUCUGACCAGCAAUUUAUCUAGGGAACUUCUAAUAUGCUGGCAACCAUGUUCAAACCUAGAUUUCCUGCAUUCAAUGACACCAACAUAACAGGUCUAUAUCAUUACAAAUCACAUAAAUUCCUAUUGAUACUAAAGAAAAGAACUGUGGAUUCCUAAACCAACCUUCAUGUUCUAAUUUUAUUUUAAUAAAUUUCACUCUUAUGAGACACAGGUGAGGUCAAAGGUGACAGAAAAAAUGGUAAGAAGAUAUGACAGUUUGAAAUUCAGGAUUUUUAGUUACCACAUUCAGUUUUUGUUAUAUAUAUAAAAAGAAGAAUAAGAAGUUAUCACCUGCAGUUGGAUUUCCUUAAUUCUCCAUUUUACUAUCACAUUUAGAACUUCAUUAUAUUGAUAAAUAUAUCUACGUUUCUAGUUUUUCCCUUUCUUUCACCAUUGGCCAUUACAACCUAACAACUCGGGUUUACCCUUUACUCUCUUUGUUUUAUCUCUUAUUUAUUCAGAGAGCUAGUUUGUUUGAGUUUAUCUAUCAGAUUUGACAAUGCUUGGAAGUUCUUAUCUCACUGCAUUGUGGCAAUGCAAAUUAUAAUUGAUGACAAAGAUUGAAGGCGAGAAUUUGGAGUGUCUAUCAAAUGAUGGAAAUGAUGUGGAUAAAAUAAAUCAGUACAUACUGUCUGUCAAGAAAGACAACAAAGCUGCUGACUCACUUUAUCAUAGGAACGGGAUUGACUCGGUUAAAGAAGAUAGCAUGACCAAGGCUCUUAAGAAGGCUAUGAGUGAGAACUUUCACGAUAAUGAAGAACAUCCCCAAACUCUCUUUUACAAGAAUCUAUGGCUUGAGGCAGAAGCUGCAUUAUGUGCCUCCAAUUUAAGAGCUCGUUUUAAUAGUGCAAGGUCAGGAAUGGAGAAACAUGAAUCACCAAAAGUAAGAUAACAAGCCGAAAAUUGUGACAAAGCACUUAUCUCUGAUGCUUCUCCUGGUUCAAACACCAUUGGGAAAUUGGCAUCUAAGACUAAGGUUGGUUCAACCUCAUUUGUCUCCUUUCAGACUUCCCCUGCCGUCAGUGUGACUAGUCAUGCAGAUGAUGUGUUUACUAGAUUUCAUAUUCUCAGAUGCCCAGAGGAUGCAGCAAGGCAUAAGGAUGUCGGAAAUUCAGUAUUAUCGUCUGAUUUUGAGGUUUCGGUUAAACAGGAUGUGGCUGAAAAAUUAGGACUCGACAAGAAAAAAACUGCAGUCACAUGUAUCGAAGACAUAGAUUCUUCAUUCCCCACGUCGAAGAUGAAGGGACUCUGGGAAUGCUCUUCCAUCCAUUUCGCCCACCGUGACUGGGAGCAGCCAUAUAGAUGAUAUCAUGUCUACAUUUCAAAUUCUAAAAUCUCGAGGUGAGGACACAAGUUCUUUGGAUGUGGGAAUGGUGCAGAAAAAUACAAACUCCCACUGUAGGGAAAUCAAUGUAUUGGCGCAUAAAGGUGUGGGUAUCUCAGCAAUGAAUCAUGCCAUUGCCGAUAACAAACAUGAUGUUGAUAAUUUAGAUGCUUCGGUACUGGCAAGACAAGAUGUCCUAAGGAGGCGUGGAAACAACAUAAGCUUGAUCCCUGCUGGAGAACAAGUACUGGAGGUAGAAGUAGAACACCUGUUUCCUGAAAGCAAGAGAAUGCAUUGGCCAUUUGAUGAAAACAAAGUAAAUAAGGGAGGUUCAGGUGUUGAAAUGGAACAUUUCAAGGGAUGUGAAGCUGGGAAUGGAAAUAGAAGUCAUAUUGAGGGCAAGGGUCCUGCUGAUUGUUCUGAUGGGUCCUCAUCUGCCGACUGGGAACAUGUUCUCUGGUGCGAGUGAAUGUAUACAGACUUGUAGCGAACUUAUUAUCAAUGUUAUCAUACAUUUUGAUUUUGUUCAAUGAACUGAUGAUACUGUUUAGCCGAGAUCCUCUCCCAUCAUCAACUACAGUCGAUCAUAAUAGAUACCAUUUCUUGUAA